AUGACGUUGACGUUGAGACUUUUAGGCUUAGUUUGGUAUUGAGAUCUAUUUGAUGCUGUUAGAUAAAAUAGAAUUAAAAAAAAAGCACAUAGGAAUAUGCUUUUGUGUUUUCUGGUGGGAAUGCAAAAAAUAUAUUAUAACUGAUUCAUCAUAAUAUGUGAAACGUAAUAUUACGUAUGAAAACAAACAAAAUAUUUUUUCAUCAUAGUUUCUCACCGCACGUAACGCAAUCUUCUUGUAAUCCCAAACGAAGUUUGUUGAGCCAAAGCAUAACACAAUAC
rnacentral:lncRNA from 1 species